GUCUGGUUCAAGGCGGGUUCCCAGAUCUUCAGCGAGGGCGGCCUUGACUACCUCGGCAACCCGAGCCUGAUCCAUGCGCAGAGCAUCCUCGCCAUCUGGGCCUGCCAGGUCGUGCUCAUGGGCGCCGUCGAGGGGUACCGCAUUGCCGGCGGCCCGCUCGGCGAGGUCGUCGACCCGCUCUACCCCGGCGGCAGCUUCGACCCGCUGGGGCUCGCCGACGACCCCGAGGCCUUCGCCGAGCUCAAGGUCAAGGAGCUCAAGAACGGCCGCCUCGCCAUGUUCUCCAUGUUCGGGUUCUUCGUGCAGGCCAUCGUCACCGGCAAGGGGCCCCUGGAGAACCUCGCCGACCACCUCGCCGACCCCGUCAACAACAACGCCUGGGCCUACGCCACCAACUUCGUCCCCGGCAAGUGAGUGAGCGAGGAUGGGCAUGGGUGGAUGACGCGCACGGCGAGGUGAAGCGACCGGCCGGGGGUGGGGUCGCCGUAGACGUAUGUAUUCGUAUGUACUGCAACGUGUACGAGUAUUUGUGAAGGAAGGAAGCCUGGGACCACAGGUUGUUGUACCAGUAGUGUAUUUGUACGCAUGUUCUGGACCGGAUCAAUGAAAUAUGCACCUCGUUGUAAAUAAA
rnacentral:lncRNA from 1 species